rnacentral:rRNA from 1 species
UACGUAGGGUGCAAGCGUUUGUCCGGAAUUAUUGGGCGUAAAGAGCUCGUAGGUGGUUCGGUAAGUCGGAUGUGAAAUCUCCAGGCUCAACCUGGAGGGGUCAUUCGAUACUGCCGUGACUAGAGUUCGGUAGGGGAGUGUGGAAUUCCUGGUGGAGCGGUGAAAUGCGCAGAUAUCAGGAGGAACACCCGUAGCGAAGGCGGCACUCUGGGCCGAUACUGACACUGAGGAGCGAAAGCGUGGGGAGCGAACAGG